rnacentral:rRNA from 1 species
GGUCAGGACGAACGCUGGCGGCGUGCUUAACACAUGCAAGUCGAACGGGAGUAUUGAAGAAGCUUGCUUAGAGAUACUUAGUGGCGGACGGGUGAGUAACGCGUGAGGAGCUGUCCUAUGCAGGGGGACAACAGCUGGAAACGGCUGCUAAUACCCCAUAAGCCGAGAGGUAAAAGGAUCAAUCCGGCAGAGGAGGUACUCGCGUCCUAUCAGCUAGUAGGUGAGGUAACGGCUCACCUAGGCGAAGACGGGUAGCCGGCCUGAGAGGGCGAACGGCCACACUGGAACUGAGAUACGGUCCAGACUCCUACGGGAGGCAGCAGUGGGGAAUAUUGGGCAAUGGGGGAAACCCUGACCCAGCGACGCCGCGUGGGUGAAGAAAUCCUUCGGGAUGUAAAGCCCUGUUGUAUGGGAAGAGCGGAAGACGGUACCAUACGAGGAAGCCCCGGCAAACUACGUGCCAGCCGCUGC